rnacentral:rRNA from 1 species
GAAACUAAAUAGGAUUCCCUCAGUAAUGGCGAAUGAACAGGGAUAAGCUCAGCAUGGAAAUUGGGGCCCUCGGCCUUGAAUUGUAGUCUUGAGAUGUGUUACCAACGGAGGCGCAGAUGUAAGCCUCUUGGAAAAGAGCGUCAGGGAGGGUGAGAGUCCCGUAUGUCAUCUGCAGUUCUCUGUGCACGGUGCAUGUUCUAAGAGUCACGUUCCUCGGGAUUGGAGCGCAAAUUGGGUGGUAAAUUUCAUCUAAAGCUAAAUAUUGGUUCGAGACCGAUAGCAAACAAGUACCAUGAGGGAAAGGUGAAAAGGACUUUGAAAAGAGAGUUAAAAGUGCCUGAAAUUGCUGAAAGGGAAGCGAAUGGAACCAGUUGUUCUUGGUGAGUAUUGGUGUUGUCUAAAGUGAUGGCUUGCCACUUCAACGCAAGUGUGGUGGCAGGUUUUGAUCUGGAUGCGAUACUGCUUCUCGCCUUGCAUGUCAACGUCAGUUCAUAAUUGAGGAAAACUCUAAGGACAUGGUAAUUCGCUUCCGAGUGACUGAAUGUCCUCAGUUGAACUCAUUUUUGAACUGCUCUCUGUGUGUCUGGUAGCACUGCUUCAUGUGCUUGCCUGCGAUCUUCUGCUCUGCAUGAAGGUUGUUGGUGCCAGGAGCAUGUCCUUGACAUUAGAACGAUGACGAAAUGGUUUU